UACGUAGGUGGCAAGCGUUGUCCGGAUUUAUUGGGUUUAAAGGGUGCGUAGGCGGUUUUUUAAGUCAGUGCUGAAAUACUCCAGCUUAACUGGAGGGGUGGCAUUGAUACUGGAAGACUUGAGUACAGAUGAGGUAGGCGGAAUUGACGGUGUAGCGGUGAAAUGCAUAGAUAUCGUCAAGAACACCGAUAGCGAAGGCAGCUUACUGGGCUGUAACUGACGCUUGAUGCGCGGACAGCGUGGGGGAGCAAACAGG
rnacentral:rRNA from 1 species